CAGUUUAUUUGUGGUUAUAAUUGUUUUCUUUGAGAAAUUCUUUGAGACCUAUUUUAUUCUAUAUAUUAUUAAAGUGAUCAUGCUGUGAAAUAAUCUGACACCCUAAAGACAUUCCAGAAAGCAACAUUCUGUAACAUCAUUAUUAACUGAAGUCCGAUGGAACUCAUGGUAUCAAUAAUGUCACAGAAUGAUGCAUUCUGGGUUGCUGCCAGUGAACUCGCAGGUCUCAGAUGAUUUCAUUUCAUAGAUAAAAGGAAAAGAAUUUUUAAAAUGGUAAAUUGACGCUUAUUUCUCUGCUGAAUGCCUCUUCCUUUCAGAGCCAAGUUAGUGGGCACAUUUUAUCACAUAUUUCAGGGUUUAACAUACCUCUCAAUUUGCGAAGGCCAAAAUAUGGGACAUAGUGUGUGGCAAAGACCCCAAAUAAGAGAUGUACAAAUACUAUUUGGGCAGGAAAUAUAAAAUGCUUUGAACUGACUCCUUUGUUGCAAAUAGCUCUUUCUGUAACCUCUGUUGUAUCCUUCUUUUGUUUCUGAUCAGAGUCAUUUGCUGCAAUAAAAGGGAGAGGGCACUAGAUUUUGAUAGAAUGUCACCUUAACGGGCAUGUUCCAACAUUUCAUCAGCAAGAAAUUCUGGACUGGGCCCUAAAUGCCUACAUUGAAUUAAGCAACAACAAACAAUAGGAGAACUCAAGUAACAUUGCAGUCUUGGUCAAAGUUGAACCGAGCUGCAAAGCACUGGAGCGGAAACUUGGCUCGCAAUAUUUUAAG